rnacentral:rRNA from 1 species
GUAGUCCACGCCGUAAACGAUUGGUACUAGACUUGGCUGGUUUUGACCCCUGCUGAGUCGGAGCUAACGCAAUAAGUACCACGCCUGGGAAGUACGGUCGCAAGAUUAAAACUCAAAGGAAUUGACGGGGGCCCGCACAAGCGGUGGAUCAUGUGGUUUAAUUCGAAGCAACGCGCAAAACCUUACCUGGGUUUGACAUCCCCUGACAAUCUACGAAAGUAGACUUCUAGCUUGCUAGCAGGGUGACAGGUGCUGCAUGGCUGUCGUCAGCUCGUGUGGUGACAUGUUGGGUUAAGUCUCGCAACGAGCGCAACCCCUAUCCUUAGUUGCCAGCAUUAAGUUGGGCACUCUACGGAGACUGCCGUGGUUAACACGGA